AACUAACCAGGAUUCCCUUAGUAACGGCGAGUGAAGAGGGAAAAGCCCAGCACCGAAGCCUGCGGCAGGUUUGCUGUUAGGCAAUGUGGUGUUUGGGUCGGCUCGUGGGACUACCACUCCACUCGAAGUCCAGCAUUGAGUAUGGUUACUGGAUUUGGCCCAGAGAGGGUGAAAGGCCCGUACGGGUGGAGUAUCAGACAUGUGAGGUGGUUCACCAGGUCGACCUUAGAGUCGGGUUGUUUGGGAAUGCAGCCCAAAGUGGGUGGUAAACUCCAUCCAAGGCUAAAUACAAGCACGAGUCCGAUAGCGAACAAGUACCGUGAGGGAAAGUUGAAAAGUACUCUGAAGAGAGAGUAAACAGUACGUGAAACCGCAUGCAGGUAAACGGGUGGCGUCAAGCUGCAAGCCCGGAGAAUUCAGUCGGCUAGGUUGUUGUGUAUGCGCCUGGCGCAUCCAUCAGUCAGAGUAUGAUUGGGUAGUCCACUAGUAAACAGUGGGCCUGUCCGCAAGGUCAGGAUAUGUGUACCGGGUGGGUGCCGGAGCAUGCUACCCGUCUGAGGACUGUCUAGCCGGUGCACUUUCUCCGUGGUCAACACCACGACCGGUGGUAUUGCCAGUCUACUGUGUCCAAGUCGCAUUUGGUAGGUCCUUGUGGCCAACCGAGUGCGAUCACAGGCAAACUCAGUAAACGGCGUGAGGGUGCUUCGGCACUUUCAUGUGUUAUCGGCUACUGGUUGUCAACGGGCCUGCUCUGUGGUUGUUGUAACCGACACGGGGUGGCCUGGUGGGGCAUGGUGGUAAGAAUAACUGUGCAAGGCACUGGGGUUAUCGGCCUCAAAUGCGUCCUGCGUCCAUGUUACAAGUGUGUGUUUGCGUCGCUGCUGCCUGCUCGGUGCUGGGUGUGACUGGCGUGUCGCCUGCGCAAAGUAGGCCCGUCAGUGGCUCGGUUCGAGGUGGGUAGUUGGUGGCGUUGUCGACGGCGCAGGGCGUGGUGGGCCUAAUAGU
rnacentral:rRNA from 1 species